AGGCAACAGCAGCCGCCCUGUGGGCUCCAUGGAGACCAGGUAUAUUUAGACCACAGAAUGUUUAGAACAGCCUCGGCAGUCCAGGAGGUGGAAAUCCAAAAGCAGGAAAAUCCCACAGAGCGAAGCGUGGACGGAUACCUGACUUCAACUCACCUCUUUUAUAAAUGAAAUCCAUGAUGGCCCUGGUUACAUGAGCUCGACUCAAACUCUGAGCCCCCUGAGCUGCGGGGCCACCUGAUCCCUGAGCUGCCUCUCACCUGAUGCUGCUGCGGGUGUGCUUUGGGCGAGGGACGAGUCUUAAGGAAAACGAGAGGGCACUGCCUGCCUUGCCUUUGGAAUUCUAUUUACAGUGUGACCACUGCCGGGUCAAAGUGGCCCUGUGGCCCUCUCAGACACCGGCUCUUCUUUCCAAGGCAGAAACUCAGAGGAAAGGCCGAGGUCAAGCCAUGUGCUACCGUUUAUUACCCACCUUUGGUGUUGGGGGUGCCCCUAAACCUUGAUGCCUGAACUCCCCCGGGAGAGGGACCCCACGAGGGUUCGUCCCCAGCAGAGACCACUGGAGAAGAGGUGGUGGGGUUAGAACCACCCAAUGCCCCCCCGGGGAGCCCACCGAAACAGUGUCCCACACUGGUCUUCCAUGAGCAUUUUGCACUGGCUGCAGGCACAGACUCAUGGAUUUGAAGAGAAGGCUCAUCCUGCAUUCCCUCAAAAAUAAACCAGCAAACACGCAAACAAGGCAGGCAAACUGGAGUCUUGUCAGUCUCAGCAAAACUUCUUAAGAAUAAUAAUGCCCGAUCCAAGGAAUGGAAGGCCAGGGCCAACAGCUUUUCUGUGCAGAAUCUCCACUGGAGUCUAAGACAAGGCUGGUCCUGGCCAGGCUGAAGAAUUUUGGAACCCAAGAGUGCAAGCACCCGUAGAAAUCACCUGGUUACACGGCAGAGUUUCCUGGGGGCUUCCAUGGUUGGGGGGGGCGGGGGCUAGUCCGAGUGAGGCUGUCAGCGAAUCAAAGUUUGACUACCAUACACGCGGAAGAUCAGAAGAAUCGUCUCUCAGCCAGAAUCCUCAUUCUGUUGGCAGGGAGAUCGGGGCCCAGGGAGGCGAAGACACUUCCUGCCCCUCCAGGCCAGUGGCAGCCCCAGGGAGCAGGGGCUUGGUGGGUUCUCGCCGCUGCCGGUUCCUAGUGACUGGAAGAGCACCCAGCACGUCACGGUCACUCAGCAGUUAUUUGUUCAACGGACACGUGCUCUUAAGGAGGACUGAGAGGGUGCCUUGAUCAUCUGUUAUAGUUUCAAGACGGACAUCAUGGGGAUGGAAAAGGCCCAGAGAAACGAAAAGAGCAACAGCCAGAAACAUGGUUCGAACCCAGCUCUGCUCUUUAUGAGCCUCACAAGCCUGGCAAGUUCCUUCUCUACACCUCAUCUCCCACAGGUAUGAGCUAGGGCCCGUGGCCUAUCCUGCAAGUUUGUCGUGAGCCUGACCGAGGAAAUGGGUGUAGCCGGCAGGUGCUGAAGAAACUCAUUGGAGGGGCUCCUCUGGUAUCAUUACCCCGCUGCCUCCUGUACACUUGGGCAUUUCGUGCCUCGGCAGUCUGUGACACCCAAAACAAAGAACCUGGGGAGAAAGCGUGAA